rnacentral:rRNA from 1 species
GAUGAACGCUGGCGGCGUGCCUAAUACAUGCAAGUCGAGCGAACAGACGAGGAGCUUGCUCCUCUGACGUUAGCGGCGGACGGGUGAGUAACACGUGGAUAACCUACCUAUAAGACUGGGAUAACUUCGGGAAACCGGAGCUAAUACCGGAUAAUAUAUUGAACCGCAUGGUUCAAUAGUGAAAGACGGUUUUGCUGUCACUUAUAGCUGGAUCCGCGCCGCAUUAGCUAGUUGGUAAGGUAACGGCUUACCAAGGCAACGAUGCGUAGCCGACCUGAGAGGGUGAUCGGCCACACGGGAACUGAGACGCGUUCCAGACUCCUACGGGAGGCAGCAGUAGGGAAUCUUCCGCAAUGGGCGAAAGCCUGACGGAGCAACGCCGCGUGAGUGAUGAAGGUCUUCGGAUCGUAAAACUCUGUUAUUAGGGAAGAACAAAUGUGUAAGUAACUAUGCACGUCUUGACGGUACCUAAUCAGAAAGCCACGGCUAACUACGUG